CGGGCGGGACGGGUGAGUAACGCGUGGGUAACCGUCGCUCAUACAGGGGGAUAACAGUUGGAAACGGCUGCUAAUACCGCAUAAGCGCACAGUACCGCAUGGUACCGUGUGAAAAACUCCGGUGGUAUGAGAUGGACCCGCGUCUGAUUAGCUAGUUGGUGGGGUAACGGCCUACCAAGGCGACGAUCGGUAGCCGACCUGAGAGGGUGACCGGCCACAUUGGGACUGAGACACGGCCCAA
rnacentral:rRNA from 1 species